rnacentral:lncRNA from 1 species
UUUUUUUUUUUCAGAAGUUCGGUUGGCUAGAUUUGAAUGCUCUUGCUCUCUAGUUUCUUAUGUUCAGAAAUAAAAAGAAAGUUUGUCUGUCUUGCUGUUUAAUCUGAACGUUUGGUUAGCGGAGAUGUUAGUUGCGUUAGGAGGGAUUGAAAUUGCAUGUUUGAAAAGCCCAAACCUGUUAUAAAUAAAAGAAACCAGCAGAAAUAAGGAAAGCUUCGUAUGCCUGCAUUUCUUUCCAAGUUUUUUUUUUACUUGUUUGAACGCCAAAGUCAUGUGUUAUGUGGUUUAAUUUAGAACUUGGGGUGUGGGUAUGAGAAAGUUUGAUCAAAGUUGUAAAGAUUAUCGAUGGCAUGUUGGGAGAAUGCUGCAGAACUUUGCCGAAAAAGCUUCUUGUACUGUUAAGUUCUGUUGCAGAAAGUUUGCUUCGUAGCUUGCAUGAAUUGCAUGAAAUAAUUUCUAAAAAUUGCUCUUUAACCCCCCAAGUCCCUUUUUGUUCUACUAAGGCCCAAGUAAUUGGAACAUUUAAUCAAUUUGAUCCUUCUAAGUUUCUCUUUGUGCCACAAAAGCCCAAGCAUGUUUUAGUAUCUUGUAAUUAAGUCCUAAAAUCAUUACAACUUCAAUCAUUGUCUUGGCUUUUUCUUUAUUUUUUGGAAUCUUUGAAGUGCUUAAACGAUUUAUUU